rnacentral:lncRNA from 1 species
CCGGGCCUCGGGGACCGCGCAGGGCGAGGCCCGGGCUGUCCUCCUCCCGUGCCACGUCGCUAGAGCCGAGCGACAUGAAGGCGACGCCGAACGCCAUCCCCAGGUUCUGUCGAAGCUCCGGGCUCUGAACAGGUCCCAGCGCCCCGUCCCAGAAGCCGCAGACCUUUUCCCGGAUUUGUCAUUCAUCUGCAGUGGUGGAAAGUUCUGGAUCUUAAUCAGUGGUGACAAUGCUUCAUGCUUCAGCCUCUGCCCAAGCCAGGACCUUCAGCCUCUGGAAGACCUGGACUCUAAGCACCUGAUUUUAUGAGAAGUUAUCUAGAAGGUGUAGAAAAACUUCCCUCAGGUCUUUUGGAAGCUGCUCUCAGCCUGUUCUCCUAGCUUACCUCUAUUCCUCUCUGCCACCCACUAACCUAAGAAGCACUCCCUUCCAGGCAACCCACAGCCACACUUUCCUAUGAUCCAGAGAAGGUAAUAGACGCCAAGGUCUUAUUCAACAAAGACCAGACCAGACCAGAAAUCAGCAUCUACAGGCACCUCAAUCACGUUAAGCCCCAAUGCCUACACACCAGUGCAAAAACCACAAUGAUUACUACCCUAGGCGAUAUGCCUCCACCUGAACCCAGGAACCCUACCCUACUAUAGUAAGCCAUAAGAAAGGCAACAUAGC